ensembl:lncRNA
GGGGGCGGACUCACAGUGCCGGCCCUUCCAGAAACAGGUUGCUGUCAGACAGCAGUGCGAGUCAGCGCACACAGAGACACAGUAUGCACUAGAGACUCCAGGAGUGCUGCUGCUCACCACGGACAUGGACCUACUCAAGGGCUUGGGAGUUCUGCUGGUACUGCUCCUCGGCUCAGCCCACUGCUGGGACGACCUAGAGCCGGUUCUUAAGGCUGUGGGGGACUCCAUGGAGAUGGGUUUCUGCUUCGGAGUGGACUACAUUGUGGGCUACAAGCUGACGGGUGAGGAGCGGGAACUGAUGGGGAAUUCCUCCAGUGAAUCGCCCAAGGGAUUUGACGGGCGUGUGAAAGUUACGUAUCACAUUGCAUCCCUCCUGGGUUUGGAGAUUAGCAACCUGACAUCUGCUGACACCGGGGUCUACUUGAGGGAGUGUUGGCAGGACCAUGAGCUGAUAAACCAGCAGAAGCACUACCUGUAUGUUUGUGGGGAAAAGGCUGCCUCUCAAGAUAUCGUUGUGUCCCCAGAAGGAGGGGCAGAUUUUACUUGCAACACUCCCAGCACCGGACUGCCAGAGUCCAGUAUAAGGUGGUACCGUGAAGUUUACCCCAAAUACAAGACAACUCUGUUCCUGGACACACAGCUGUCACAGACACCUAUCCAGCCUGAGCUGCAAGGCGAGAUUCAGGUGAGAGGCGGGGGAGUCGGCCUCCACAUCCCCACCUCCGUCAUGAAGAAGAGCCGCAACUUCCACUGCCUGGUGCUGCGAGAGGGGCAGUGCCUGGCCUACCAGGAUAUAGAGUUCCCUGAGAGCGAGGAGCCAGACGUGAAGACCAUCUUCCGCUCGGCAGGAGAUAGAGUGCUGUUACCCUGCCCCAUGAAGCACCCCGACCAGAAGACAAGAUUCUGGGAGACGCCGUUGGGUCAGGUGGAGUCCAACACCACCACAGAGGACCAUCACCUGAGUGUACUGAAAGGUAAGGUGUCAGGAGAAUACUCCCUGCUCAUACCACAUCUCAGUGAGGACCACGCAGGGGAUUAUAAAUGCUUUGCUCCACUGCUGGUGGCAGAUUACGCUGUGACUGUUUGCCCAAAGCAUGAUUCAACGGAACUGAAGUUUUCUGAUGGAGAUGAAGUGGAUCUGAAAUGUCUGCCGGAGGAUGGGGCAUUUCAGCAUCCAGUGGUAUCGACAGCAUGGGCCUGACGAGGAUACCUUGCUAGUAGACUCAGGCGAUCCAUCAAUACCUUUCCCUGAAGACCUGCGGGGCAGGGCCACAUUUUCGGAGGAAACCUUCACACUCACAAUUUCCCGUCUCACCCCAGAGGACAACCGGACGUACUGGUGUGUGGUUCUGGAGGAAAUAACGUUUCUGGAAGAAUACAACCCUGCUAUCGAUGACGAGGAAGACAGUGAGGGUGAAGGUGACACUGACAGCAAAGCUGUUGGUGAAAAUGAGGACUAUAACGCGUGGGAGGACGAAGACAAAUGCCUCUCAAGGCAAGUGUCUCAUCUGAUAUACAAGGCCCCAAAAGAUCCCAGGUCAGGCCCUAAGUCUACGUCUAAGUCUGAGUCUGACCCUGAGCCUGAGUCCACGACCAACCCGGCUGUGUUUGGCAUAGUGGGCGGAGUCAUUGGCUUGGUCAUUUUGGGGGCUGUCAUAGCAACAGUGUUUAAAAUCCGAGCAAAGAAGAGACAUGACCAGGCUAGGAAAGAUCCUGUACAAUACAUAGGAUCAGAGGGUGAAGUGGCUGGGCUUGCACCACAGAACAACAGACCUUGACUGUGAAGGGGCGGGCAGCUGUCUGAGAAAAGAAGACAUAGACAGCUCUCCAUCUGAUGGGGUGGGGAGACCAGGCUGUGCCAGAUGGUCGCUAGUUCCUGCUGCAGCAUUAGCAUGUCAAGCACAGCACCCUGAACGUUCCACUGCUCUAUGAGCCUCCAGGCCAGACCAUGCAUGAGACUGCCCAUCGGUGGCAUGGUGGGACUGACUUAAUUAGUAACACAUUUCGCUGUUCAACUUCACUAGUUGCUUGAGCUUAUUUCGAAAAUGUCUUUCACAUGUCAAACCGCUAUUGUAUACUCUUUACAUUAUAAGGACAAGCACUUGCAUGAGCACAGGAAGUCCCAAAAGGAACAAAUGUUUAUUGGUGUGGUAAUGGUGUGGUAGAAAUGGUGGUUUAUGUGUGUUUGGUAGAAGUCCUCACGCUCUGAUCCCAUCCCAUCUGGAGCCGAGGUUUCUGUUUGGGCUUGAGAAAUCAUUUGCUCUGCCAGCAGGAUUUUGAAACCCAGGAAAUGAAGUGUGUGUUUCAGAAAGUCUUCCCAGGAGCUGGACGUGUUUCUGGUGCUGAAUGAAUUGGUGAUGAUGAGAUCAAACAAGGUUCACAGUUGUGCACACUGCCCACUUCCCUGUUUUGUUUCCAAUCCUGCUGAAGCUUAGCGUCCUGUCUGCUCCCCGUGUUUGUCCGUGUUUGUCCUGCACUCUCAGCAGCUGUUCUGAAUGCUUGGACAUUUAUCCUAUCGUUUUGGGGCAAUCUCAUGCAUGUGUUCUAGCCCCACAGGCUGUGGUAGCCGUAAGCGAUAGUACAUCCGGAAGCCAUUAGGCCUUUUGCCAUAAUGUAAUUCUUUCUCAGCAUUUCAAUUGUAGCUAGACUCCAAUGCAUCCAGCAGUUGCAUAGAUGUAAAACACUUGUCAAUGAACAGAUGGGUGUUCCUGGAAAUAAUCUCAGCCACCAAUGGAUCUUGCUUUUUUAACUCUCAUUAUAGAUGUAAUUUCCUGCGUAAACAUUAAAAUCCCAAACCAUUUGGAUUAGCAAGGAC